rnacentral:rRNA from 1 species
UACGUAGGUGGCAAGCGUUGUCCGGAUUUACUGGGCGUAAAGAGCGCGCAGGCGGUCGUACAAGUCGCGUGUGAAAGCCCCCGGCUCAACUGGGGAGGGUCAUUCGAUACUGAUCGACUUGAAGGCAGGAGAGGGAAGCGGAAUUCCCGGUGUAGUGGUGAAAUGCGUAGAUAUCGGGAGGAACACCAGUGGCGAAGGCGGCCUGCUGGGCAGUUGCUGACACUGAGGCGCGACAGCGUGGGGAGCAAACAGG